rnacentral:rRNA from 1 species
AGGGGAGUGGCGGACGGGUGAGUAACGCGUGGGAAUUUUCCUCAAGGUACGGAACAACUCAGGGAAACUUGGGCUAAUACCGUAUGAUGCAGCGAUGCCAAAGAUUUAUCGCCUUGGGAUAAGCCCGCGUCAGAUUAGGUAGUUGGUGGGGUAACGGCCUACCAAGCCUGCGAUCUGUAACUGGUCUGAGAGGACGAUCAGCCACAUUGGGACUGAGACACGGCCCAAACUCCUACGGGAGGCAGCAGUGGGGAAUCUUGCGCAAUGGGCGAAAGCCUGACGCAGCCAUGCCGCGUGAAUGAUGAAGGUCUUAGGAUUGUAAAGUUCUUUAGCCUGUGACGAUGAUGACGGUAACAGGAGAAUAAGCCCCGGCUAACUUCGUGCCAGCAGCCGCGGUAAUACGAAGGGGGCUAGCGUUGUUCGGAAUUACUGGGCGUAAAGCGCGCGUAGGCGGUUUUACAAGCCAGAGGUGAAAUGCCAGAGCUUAACUUGGGAAUUGCCUUUGGAACUGUAUGACUUCGAGGACGAGAGAGGUGAGUGGAAUUCCCAGUGUAGAGGUGAAAUUCGUAGAUAUUGGGAAGAACACCGGCGGCGAAGGCGGCUCACUGGCUCGUUUCUGACGCUGCAGCGCGAGAGCGUGGGGAUCAAACAGGAUUAGAUACCCUGGUAGUCCACGCUGUAAACGAUGAGUGCUAGGCGUCGGCACGCUUGCGUGUCGGUGCCGCAGCUAACGCGUGAAGCACUCCGCCUGGGGAGUACGGUCGCAAGAUUAAAACUCAAAGGAAUUGACGGGGGCCCGCACAAGCGGUGGANCAUGUGGUUUAAUUCGACGCAACGCGCAGAACCUUACCAGCCCUUGACAUGCCGNGCUACUCACAGAGAUGUGGGGUCCCCUCACGGGGCGCGGANACAGGUGCUGCAUGGCUGUCGUCAGCUCGNGUC